UACGUAGGCAGCAAGCGUUGUUCGGAAUUACUGGGCGUAAAGAGUGUGUAGGCGGUGUUCUAAGUUUGUCGUGAAAUCUCCCGGCUUAACUGGGAGGGUGCGGCGAAAACUGGAAUGCUAGAGGAUGGGAGAGGUAAGCGGAAUUCCUGGUGUAGCGGUGAAAUGCGUAGAUAUCAGGAGGAACACCUGUGGUGUAGACAGCUUCUGGACCAUUUCUGACGCUGAGACACGAAAGCGUGGGUAGCAAACAGG
rnacentral:rRNA from 1 species